AGAAAAGUCGCCAUAGGUAAGGUAAAAUAUUUGCUAAAUAUUGUGUAAACACGUGGAUGUUCGAAUCAUCCCUUUUCUG
rnacentral:tRNA from 1 species